UACGUAGGGUGCAAGCGUUGUCCGGAUUUAUUGGGCGUAAAGAGCUCGUAGGCGGUUAGUCACGUCGGAUGUGAAAACCCAGUGCUUAACACUGGGCCUGCAUUCGAUACGGGCUGACUAGAGUGUUGUAGGGGAGACUGGAACUCCUGGUGUAGCGGUGAAAUGCGCAGAUAUCAGGAAGAACACCGGUGGCGAAGGCGGGUCUCUGGGCAACUACUGACGCUGAGGAGCGAAAGCGUGGGGAGCAAACAGGAUUAGAUACCCUGGUAGUCCACGCCGUAAACGGUGGGCGCUAGGUGUGGGGAACAUUCCACGUUCUCCGUGCCGCAGCUAACGCAUUAAGCGCCCCGCCUGGGGAGUACGGCCGCAAGGCUAAA
rnacentral:rRNA from 1 species